rnacentral:rRNA from 1 species
AGUGAACGCUGGCGGUAGGCCUAACACAUGCAAGUCGAACGGCAGCACAGUAAGAGCUUGCUCUUACGGGUGGCGAGUGGCGGACGGGUGAGGAAUACAUCGGAAUCUACUUUUUCGUGGGGGAUAACGUAGGGAAACUUACGCUAAUACCGCAUACGACCUACGGGUGAAAGCAGGGGAUCUUCGGACCUUGCGCGACUGAAUGAGCCGAUGUCGGAUUAGCUAGUUGGCGGGGUAAAGGCCCACCAAGGCGACGAUCCGUAGCUGGUCUGAGAGGAUGAUCAGCCACACUGGAACUGAGACACGGUCCAGACUCCUACGGGAGGCAGCAGUGGGGAAUAUUGGACAAUGGGCGCAAGCCUGAUCCAGCCAUGCCGCGUGGGUGAAGAAGGCCUUCGGGUUGUAAAGCCCUUUUGUUGGGAAAGAAAAGCAGCAGGUUAAUACCCCGCUGUUCUGACGGUACCCAAAGAAUAAGCACCGGCUAACUUCGU